rnacentral:tRNA from 1 species
GGGGCUAUGAUGUAAAGGCUGCAUAAUGGUCUCCAAAACCAUUCGUCUAGGUUCGAAUCCUAGUAGCCCCG